rnacentral:lncRNA from 1 species
GGACUAAGCUCAGGUCUUCUACAAGGGCAGUGCACCCUUAAUCACGGAGUCACCUCUCCUCGAAUCCUUUAUACAAAAGGAAGACCAGAAUAGAGAGCUGCUGACAGCAGGAUAAAAGGAGAUAAUGACCAGAAUUACUCUCAGAAACUAAAAUGUGAUCAAAAUGCAAAGGGGUAUAUGUAUAUAAAGUUUAUUAGUACUGAUAAAAAUAACAACAUCCUUGAAUAGAUGACAAAAUCCCUUCUUGAGAAUUCCCAGGUGAGAUUCUGAGCUGCGAGAGCAGAACAAAGCUCACACGCAGAAGUACCUUACUGGAUGGAUGAUGAACCUUACUGGGUGAUGUGGGUGAACAUGGCAACAGAGAGCCUGAAUCUGGACCAGGACACACAUUUUCUCAGUUCUAGAUAUACUCUCUUUUUUCAUCUACAACAUUGCCCGCUGCUCUCUGCUUCUGUCUUUUGCUUGGACAGGCAAAGGAACGACUAAAUUCUGAAGUGUUGUGCCCAAAUGUAUGUCUGUGUGCCACGAGCAUGCAGUUCUCAAGACCAAGAGAGGGUGUGGGAUCCCCUGGAAUUGAUUUUACAGAAAGUUGUGGGCUUUCAUAUGAAUGCUGGAAAUUGAAUCCAGGUCCUCAGGAAAAGAAGCCAGUGCUCUUAAUUGCUGAGUCAUUUCUCCAGCCCCUCAACAAAAAUUUUC